GGUCGGGAGCUGGAUGGUUCC
rnacentral:siRNA from 1 species